rnacentral:rRNA from 1 species
AGCAGCCGCCGCGGGAAUACGAAGGGUGCAAGCGUUAAUCGGAAUUACUGGGCGUAAAGCGUGCGUAGGCGGUUUGUUAAGUCUGCUGUGAAAUCCCCGGGCUCAACCUGGGAAUGGCAAUGGAUACUGGCAAGCUAGAGUGUGUCAGAGGAUGGUGGAAUUCCCGGUGUAGCGGUGAAAUGCGUAGAGAUCGGGAGGAACAUCAGUGGCGAAGGCGGCCAUCUGGGACAACACUGACGCUGAGGCACGAAAGCGUGGGGAGCAAACAGGAUUAGAUACCCCGGUAGUCCCUGUCUCUUAUAA